CUCCUCGCGCAGCCGCCGCCAAAGCCUGGAGAAGUGGAAUCUCGCCGGCGCCGCUGCCUGCGCGGGACUCGCGGAGCGGCACUGGGCAUGCUCAGUCGCCGGAGCCCGUCCUGGUCUCAAGUAGGAAGCUCGUGCGCUGCACCCGCAGCUGAUCCGGGCGCUCCGGGGAAGGCGAGAUUGGAGCAGAGCGGCCGGGCGCCGGUGCCGGAGCGAGCGCGGCGCGCAUCGCUGGUCGGAGCUGCUGUGGGUGAGCUGCUGUGGUCUGUAGCCAAGCAUGCUGUGGUCGGAUCUGCCCAGCCGUGGAACAGAAACAUUUGCUGGAUGGAAAAUCCAUAAAAGAAAGCUCCUGUGAAAGCCGGAGACAGACAGUAACUUCAGCAAAAUCAGAUAUUUGGGCUGCUUGACCUCAUUGCGUGAUUGCUAUGAAUUAACAAGACUUUGUGGGAAAAGGGAACUUGCCUUUUGAGCUUUGUACCAAAGACCUGGGUAAAAAGUAAGUAAUUUUCUAACUUGCUGUCUUAAAAAAAUUCUUGUUAUAUGCC
rnacentral:lncRNA from 1 species